ensembl:lncRNA
GAGCCAGAAUAAACCUCUGCUUUAUUUCGACUUGACAGGAGUGUGUGUGUGUGUGUGUGUGUGUGUGUGUGUGUGUGUGUGUGUGUGUGUGUGUGUGUGUGUGUGUGUGUGUGUGUGUGUGACUGAGGACACACACUAAACAGCAGUGGUAAGGACAAGACCUGUCUCUGUUAAAGAUUAACCAGCCACUACAAUGAGUGAUCAAUACACCUGACCAGUCCCUCUGACCAAUAACCCUUACCAGUCCUACAGCAAAGCAAUAGAUAGGCAUGAUCACUUCUGAUAAAUAAAAAAACACAAACACAAAUUGUCAUAAAUCAAAUGCACUUGAUGAAGUUCUGUGAAACUUAAAUGUGUGUCUUCUGUGAAAUGUACUGAAUCCAUCAGAAUUCAGGUUACAGGCAUGACAAGAAAUAAAAAAAUAAAUAAAUAGAUAUUAUAACAAAAAAAACUAUCUUGGCAUUGAUUGUCUUCAGAUCUUCCCACUGAAUCUUAACAAUACUCGUAUAUAUAUAUAUAUUCACAUUCUACCUACAUAGACAUGGUCUAUUUAUGAAUAUACUUCUAUUUAUCUUUUCACAUUUAGUUUAGACUCUUCACAUUCUUUAAUACACAAUAAUCUGAUUAUUUCAUGUUUCAUUGCACAUUUGCCAUAGGCCCCCCCCAUAUCAUACUUCGCACAACACAUUCCCACCCAAAGGAAGGUCACAGAAAAAGAAUGGACAAAGCGUGUGAAGAACCUAUCACUGAUACAGACAUGAAGUACAGUUCCCCCGUGACCAGGGCUGAGGACACUUCACCAUCCUACUGACUGGCUGUAUAAAGAGGCCUAUGAUGAAUUCUAAACAGUGUCGGGGGGGUGUGUCUAUGUGAUUCCUUGACUUAUGUUUCACAGGAGUUAUGGAAAGGAGUUUCGUUUUCUGAUAAUCCGUUUAAACAUUCCUACAGCUACACAAACCAGCUAGAACUCGACAGUCAGACACACCUCUCACACACACACACACACACACCUCUCACACACAGACACCUCACACACACACACCUCUCUCACACACACCUCUCACACACACACCUCACACACACACACACCUCACACACACCUCUCACACACACACACCUCACCUCUCACACACACACACACACACCUCUCACACACACACACCUCUCACACACAGACACCUCACACACACAGACACCUCACACACACACACACACACACACACCUCACACACACACACCUCACACACACCUCUCACACACACACCUCUCACACACACACACACACACCUCUCACACACACACACCUCUGGCCCUACACAUACAGCACACAAGUCAAUCUAUCCUUGCACUCUGUGCACACAAGCACACGUGUAGACCCACGCUUCCACACAAAAACAGAGUUCUUAUUCUCACUCAUUAUCUUCAUCUUCCUCAUCUUCAGAUCACUUAACUCGUUGGCCUUUCCUAAUCGAUUCAACACAGAAUAAUGUUCAGCAUGACGAAGAACGCUUCUCCUCGUUCAGUCACUUCUCUUCUCUUCCGUCAACGUGUGAAGCAUUCCUCCUUCUUUUACCAAAUCUUUUUUUUUUUUUUUUCUGCUUUCCUAACCAUUUGUCUUAAUUUGUUUGAUAAUUCUGUGAACACUGACACACAGCAAAGGUCAGAAACAGUAAUGAACAACACUCAACCAUGAGAGGCAAGUGCAGCAAAUCAUGCAAGCACACAUCCAGCCAUCCACACCUUCUCUUUCUCUCACACACACUCACACACACACUCAUAACUCAAGUUACGUUACAACUGCACGAACCGUCCUACAGCUAAAGACUGAGCUACUACACUGUAUAUCUGGAUGGUGCACUGAGGGUGUCACACUACGGCCAUCGCACAAGAACUACACACUGUCCCCCACUCAUGACUAACCCAGAUAGAAGAACAGAGAGAGAGAGAGAGAGAGAGAGAGAGAGAGACAGACAAGAGAAGGGGAGCAGAAAGAGAGCACAACAUUUUUUACAACAGGUUACGGGUUAUCCUAGAAACCCAUAGACUAAUCCUUGACUAAUCUCAGACUAAGCUCAGACUAACAGUACUGGGACACAAACCAAUGGAGAAUGAGCUGACUUCCACAAGCCUCAAUGUGAGAGUCGACUACACACCAACUACCUGACAGGGACGUGACCUCACAGGACGUGACCGCACAGUACAUGACCUCACAGGAUAUGACCUCAUAUACCUUGACUUCAUUAGGUGUCAGUAUAAGCUUUUUUAUUCUGGAAACGGAAUGCUCAGCGAAUCUCCUGAGAGAGCGGAGAACAGCAUGGCCCAGCAAAGGGUUCAGAGUUCAGAGCUGAGGGAUCAGGAAAGACAACAAUACAUUUCUGCACGUUUCUUCUCUACGCCACUAGGGGGUGCUGUUCUUGACUUGGAUACUUGAUUUUUUGCAUUUUUCUCCCUCAGAUGUGCCUUCUACAGAGCACCAUACUGCCUCCACAGCUUCCACAGCAAGAGAAAAACUGUUCUAGGUAGCAGAAGGCAGACAUUUUGUUCCCCAGGGCAUUUGGUAGACCCUAACCAUCAUCUCCGCGAGACAGCGCAUUGUGUGCCGGGGCUCCUAGCCAAAGCAGCUGAAGCAACACAGACCUGGAUCCAUGUCUCGGGCGCUAGAACUAGAACAAAAACAAGAACUAUGACUAGAACUGGAACUAUGACUAAGACUAGAACUAUGACUAUGACUCGGUAGAAGUCAUGGCAGAAUUAUGUAAAGGCAAUCUGGAUUUCAUCUGUACUUUACUGGAUUCAUUUUCAGGGCCUGUCAGGCAGGCAUUCCCUGCUACCCUCACAAAUGCUAAUCGCUAAUCGCUACGCUGCCUCUCCGAGCACCUCCAGCAUGUCAGGACGGGGUCUGACAACACUUACACACAGAGAGAGACACAGACACACACCGCUACUGAGAGACACGGGAGGACUGGACACAACAGGCUGACUUAACGCAGCCACCUGAGACAUAGAGUGAGUGACACAGAGAAAGAGGGAGGGAGGGAUGGAUAGAGAGAGGGAAAUGGCAGGAGAGGAGGGAGGGAGGGAGGGAGGGAGGGAGGGGUAGGGUGAGGGUGUCCGCAGGCUGAGGCUUGAGGCCUCCUCCUUGCCUUGCCCAACAGGAGCCCACCCCCAACCCUCAUACAGAGUUCUCACACACACACAGCAUGGCGCGCGCAAGGGGCGACCAGGGCCUAUGACAAGCCUGCAUCCCCGGCCUCGCCUGCAGCUGGCUCCCCGGUCGGGGUGGCCUCAGCCGGGCCCUUCUCAUCGCUGGUGCCGGAGGGUGCCGGCUCGUCUGGGGCCCUCUUGGGUUUGUUGGCGCGGCGACCCUUGCGUUUGGGUUUGGCCCUUGGGGAGCAGCCUCUGGUGGGGGAGGGGCUGCUGCUGCUGUGUCUCCUAGCGCCCCCCUCAGGACUGGAGGGCCGUGAGCCCCCGCCCACCGUCCCGUCGUCCUCCGAGCUGAAGUCAGAGCUGUCGGACGGACUGACCCCUCCGGGGCUGGAGGUGGGCAAGGAGAU